rnacentral:rRNA from 1 species
GGUUCACACAACCCUGAAUGCACCGGAUCUCCUUUCUUCUCCGAAGCUAAGCAGGGUCGGGCUUGGCUAGUACUUGGAUAGAAAAUGACCGAAAUUAUAUGUAAUAUAGAUCA